AAAGAAAAUUCGAUUCCCUUAGUAGCGGCGAGCGAAACGGGAAGAGCCCAAACCAACAAGCUUGCUUGUUGGGGUUGUAGGACACUCUAUACGGAGUUACAAAGGACGACAUUAGACGAAUCAUCUGGAAAGAUGAAUCAAAGAAGGUAAUAAUCCUGUAGUCGAAAAUGUUGUCUCUCUUGAGUGGAUCCUGAGUACGACGGAGCACGUGAAAUUCCGUCGGAAUCUGGGAGGACCAUCUCCUAAGGCUAAAUACUCUCUAGUGACCGAUAGUGAACCAGUACCGUGAGGGAAAGGUGAAAAGCACCCCGGAAGGGGAGUGAAAUAGAACCUGAAACCGUGUGCUUACAAGUAGUCAGAGCCCGUUAAUGGGUGAUGGCGUGCCUUUUGUAGAAUGAACCGGCGAGUUACGAUUUGAUGCAAGGUUAAGCAGUAAAUGUGGAGCCGUAGCGAAAGCGAGUCUGAAUAGGGCGUUUAGUAUUUGGUCGUAGACCCGAAACCAGGUGAUCUACCCUUGGUCAGGUUGAAGUUCAGGUAACACUGAAUGGA
rnacentral:rRNA from 1 species